UCCUACGGGAGGCAGCAGUGAGGAAUAUUGGUCAAUGGGCGGGAGCCUGAACCAGCCAAGUCGCGUGAGGGAAGACGGUCCUAUGGAUUGUAAACCUCUUUAGGCGGGGAGCAAUGCCGGGCACGCGUGUCCGGAGGGAGAGUACCCGCAGAAUAAGCAUCGGCUAACUCCGUGCCAGCAGCCGCGGUAAUACGGAGGAUGCGAGCGUUAUCCGGAUUUAUUGGGUUUAAAGGGUGCGUAGGCGGAUUUUUAAGUCAGCGGUAAAAUUUCCGGGCUCAACCCGGCCCGGCCGUUGAACCUGGGGG
rnacentral:rRNA from 1 species